AUUAGAUACCCUGGUAGUCCACGCAGUAAACGAUGAAUGCCGGCUGUCCGGCCCGGAAAAGGGCUGGGUGGCGAAGCGAAAGCGAUAAGCAUUCCACCUGGGGAGUACGCCGGCAACGGUGAAACUCAAAGGAAUUGACGGGGGCCCGCACAAGCGGAGGAACAUGUGGUUUAAUUCGAUGAUACGCGAGGAACCUUACCCGGGCUCAAACGGGAGACGACAGGGGCGGAGACGCCCUCUUCCACGGACGUCUUCCGAGGUGCUGCAUGGUUGUCGUCAGCUCGUGCCGUGAGGUGUCGGCUUAAGUGCCAUAACGAGCGCAACCCCUGCCGACAGUUGCUAACGGGUGAAGCCGAGGACUCUGUCGGGACUGCCGGCGCAAGCCGCGAGGGAGGCGGGGAUGACGUCAAAUCAGCACGGCCCUUACGUCCGGGGCGACACACGUGUUACAAUGGCCGGUACAGCGGGAAGCCAGGCGGCGACGCCGAGCGGAACCCGAAAACCGGUCUCAGUUCGGAUCGGAGUCUGCAACCCGACUCCGUGAAGCUGGAUUCGCUAGUAAUCGCGCAUCAGCCAUGGCGCGGUGAAUACGUUCCCGGGCCUUGUACACACCGCCCGUCAAGCCAUGGGAGCCGGGGGUGCUUGAAGUGCGUCGCCGCGAGGCGCGCCCUAGAGCAAAACCGGUGACUGGGGCUAAGUCGUAACAAGGUAAC
rnacentral:rRNA from 1 species